UAUUACUCAUUUUAGUGUUUUCUUUUUCAGUUUUAUGACUUUGGUGCCUGAUAUCUCAAGCUUUCUCAAAACUCUUUUGUAAGCUGGAGGAGAGAAAUAAGCGAAGACCUGCACAAGAGAGGGGGGUGGGGAACAGAGAAAGUCACUUCUCAGCACCGAAGAGGAAAGUGCUGACCCAGCGCGGGGCACUGGGACUCAGAGCCCAACUCCAGAGCAGAUGGCCGCUGCACAUUCACAUUAAUCACGCAGCUUCCUGCAUGUCAGGAGCAGAUAUUUUUCAUUUCUAGCCCAGAUGCUACUAUUUCUCUGUUAUUUGCACUUACUGAGUUGAAAUGCAACAGAUGUUUGAAAAGGGCUUAAAACUAAAUUUCUCAUAAGGGACCAAGACAAAUAAAUCGCACACCUAACUUUAGAGCCUUGUUUUG
rnacentral:lncRNA from 1 species